AGAGUUUGAUCCUGGCUCAGGAUGAACGCUGGCGGCGUGCUUAACACAUGCAAGUCGAGCGAAGCAGUUAAGAAGAUUCUUCGGAUGAUUCUUAACUGACUGAGCGGCGGACGGGUGAGUAACGCGUGGGUGACCUGCCCCAUACCGGGGGAUAACAGCUGGAAACGGCUGCUAAUACCGCAUAAGCGCACAGAGCUGCAUGGCUCGGUGUGAAAAACUCCGGUGGUAUAAGAUGGACCCGCGUUGGAUUAGCUAGUUGGUGAGGUAACGGCCCACCAAGGCGACGAUCCAUAGCCGACCUGAGAGGGUGACCGGCCACAUUGGGACUGAGACACGGCCCAAACUCCUACGGGAGGCAGCAGUGGGGAAUAUUGCACAAUGGGGGAAACCCUGAUGCAGCGACGCCGCGUGAGCGAAGAAGUAUUUCGGUAUGUAAAGCUCUAUCAGCAGGGAAGAUAAUGACGGUACCUGACUAAGAAGCCCCGGCUAACUACGUGCCAGCAGCCGCGGUAAUACGUAGGGGGCAAGCGUUAUCCGGAUUUACUGGGUGUAAAGGGAGCGUAGACGGCAAGGCAAGUCUGAAGUGAAAGCCCGGUGCUUAACGCCGGGACUGCUUUGGAAACUGUUUAGCUGGAGUGCCGGAGAGGUAAGCGGAAUUCCUAGUGUAGCGGUGAAAUGCGUAGAUAUUAGGAGGAACACCAGUGGCGAAGGCGGCUUACUGGACGGUAACUGACGUUGAGGCUCGAAAGCGUGGGGAGCAAACAGGAUUAGAUACCCUGGUAGUCCACGCCGUAAACGAUGAUUACUAGGUGUGGGGGGACUGACCCCUUCCGUGCCGCAGCAAACGCAAUAAGUAAUCCACCUGGGGAGUACGACCGCAAGGUUGAAACUCAAAGGAAUUGACGGGGGCCCGCACAAGCGGUGGAGCAUGUGGUUUAAUUCGAAGCAACGCGAAGAACCUUACCAGGUCUUGACAUCCCGAUGACCG
rnacentral:rRNA from 1 species